rnacentral:rRNA from 1 species
GAUGAACGUUGACAGAAUGCUUAACACAUGCAAGUCUACUUGAUUCUACUUUGGUAGUUGAUGGUGGCGGACGGGUGAGUAACGCGUAAAGAAUCUGCCCUUUAGUUCGGGAUAACCUUUGGAAACGAAGGAUAAUACCGGAUAUUAUGGAGACGUCGCAUGACGAUUUCAUGAAAGCUAUAUGCGCUAGAGGAGGAGUUUGCGUCCCAUUAGUUAGUUGGUGCGGUAAUGGCUCACCAAGACCGCGAUGGGUAGCCGGCCUGGGAGGGUGAUCGGCCACAAGGGAACUGAGACAAGGUCCUUACUCCUACGGGAGGCAGCAGUGGGGAAUAUUGGAAAAUGGGCCACAAGCCUGAUCCAGCAAUUCUGUGUGCACGAUGAAGGUCUUCGGAUUGUAAAGUGCUUUCAGUAGGGAAGAAAAAAAUGACGGUACCUACAGAAGAAGCGACGGCUAAAUAUGUGCCAGCAGCCGCCGUAAUAC